AUUGAACGCUGGCGGCAGGCCUAACACAUGCAAGUCGAGCGAGCGGCGGACGGGUGAGUAAUGUCUGGGGAACUGCCUGAUGGAGGGGGAUAACUACUGGAAACGGUAGCUAAUACCGCAUACUAUCAGAUGUGCCCAGAUGGGAUUAGCUAGUAGGUGGGGUAAAGGCUCACCUAGGCGACGAUCCCUAGCUGGUCUGAGAGGAUGACCAGCCACACUGGAACUUGGACACGGUCCAGACUCCUACGGGAGGCAGCCGUGGGGAAUAUUGCACAAUGGGCGCAAGCCUGAUGCAGCCAUGCCGCGUGUCUGAAGAAGGCCUUCGGGUUGUAAAGCACUUUCAGCGGGGAGGCGUUAACCGCAGAAGAAGCACCGGCGAACUCCGUGCCAGAGGCCGCGGUAAUUC
rnacentral:rRNA from 1 species